rnacentral:sRNA from 1 species
CUUACUGACUAGUAAAAGAGGUGAGAGAUAUAGCUAAAUAUAACUCUACAGGGAGGCUACCAAGUCUAGAAAUGCAGGUGAAUACAUAAUAAAUGGUUUACUGAUAUGUUAUGACAUAGGAUUUAAAAAUAUUUAUUUUUCUACAUUUUAUGGCCACUCUGUAUGAAAAGGUACAUUGUGACAAGAGGCAUAUAGGCAAAUUAAUAGGAUAUGUAAGUGGAAUGAAAGAUUCCAUUUAGCUUGGGAUUAAGCAAGGCAUUGUGGAGAAGGGAGCAUUCAAAGUGAGUCUCUGAAGCUGAAUCAGACAUUCAAGAGACUGGGUGAGAAGUGUAUUCUGAGGCAUGGUAUCUGGAUUUUCUUUUUUUUCUUCUUCCCUCUUGCCUUUGACAAGGAUCGCAAAAGUGGCCGCACAGCCCUGCAUUUGGCAGCUGAAGAAGCAAAUCUGGAACUCAUUCGCCUCUUUUUGGAGCUGCCCAGUUGCCUGUCUUUUGUGAAUGCAAAGGCUUACAAUGGCAACACUGCCCUCCAUGUUGCUGCCAGCCUGCAGUAUCGGUUGACACAAUUAGAUGCCGUCCGCCUGUUGAUGAGGAAGGGAGCAGACCCAAGUACUCGGAACUUGGAGAACGAACAGCCAGUGCAUUUGGUUCCCGAUGGCCCUGUGGGAGAACAGAUCCGACGUAUCCUGAAGGGAAAGUCCAUUCAGCAGAGAGCUCCACCGUAUUAGCUCCAUUAGCUUGGAGCCUGGCUAGCAACACUCACUGUCAGUUAGGCAGUCCUGAUGUAUCUGUACAUAGACCAUUUGCCUUAUAUUGGCAAAUGUAAGUUGUUUCUAUGAAACAAACAUAUUUAGUUCACUAUUAUAUAGUGGGUUAUAUU